UUUCUUUGUUGAGUGCAAUUAUCAUUGCAAGCUGCAUAUUUAUAUGCAAUUAAUCAUUUAUAAAUAAUCUCUAAAGAUGGAAUGUGAAAUCUACCUGAAUUACGUAAAUUAUCAACCACAUUAUUUGCUGUCUAAUGAGACGUGAGAGAAACACAAGAAAGUUACAAGAAAAGUCAGUCAACAAAUGUAGUGCAAAGACACCUUUACAGAGCAUAAUUUAGAGUGGUUUAAUUUCAUAUUGAUCAAUUUCAUGUGUAUUAGGAGGAAAUGACAUGACUCGUAUAGCCUAAGUAAUUAAAUAUGACAUAAAAAAAUUAAAUAAUAUUAAAUAGAUAUUUUUUUAUUAUCCUAUUCUGGAAAUAUUUAAAGGCCUGGCCAUAACAGGUUCAGGGACUGGGGGUUGGGAAACGCUGAUCUAGGGGUCUAGCACACUUGGGAAUGAGCUGAUAGUGUCAUGGAAAUAUUAAUAACUAUAAUAUACAAUUAAACACAUUAACCUUGUUUAUAUAAUUACUAGUCAAUUUACAAGGAACUAUUUAAAUUCCUUGGACCUAUAGAUACCUCCCUUCCUCUCACUGAGAGUUGUUAAGGUAGGUUACAUUUGCAUUCCUGUUGUUACCACUAAGUCUAAUAGUAAGGCCAUGCAAUCAACUGAAUUCUUCGUUGUGUAGAUUCCUUUAACUGUCUUGCAGCCAUGUCCACUUGACCCAUAGUGUAUUGCAAUUUAACUGGUUCUCUCCCACCGUGCCUGACUUCAGCCAUGGCCAAUCCUAAAUUAACCCACGAUGUGAAAGCCAUCUUCUAAUGAAUGUAUGUUUGGUAUCUUUGCUGCCUGUAUCUUCCCAUGAUCAUGCUUUAAAAUUUAAUCAAAUAUUUUGAUAUCCGAAAUGUCCAAAAAAUAAGAAAUUCACAGAGAGCAAUUUUUAACAAUAGUAAGUUUAGUUUUACAAAUAGCAAAUAGCUGGAAAGCGUCUUUAAUCUUGAUUAAAUUAAUCUUGAUAAGAUUAAAGACGUCGUUGGUUUAGCUAACGGGGUAGAGCAAUUGUCUUGUAACCGAAAGGUUGCUAGUUUGACCCCCAGCUCCUCCUAGCUGGGUGUUGACGUGUCCCUGAGCCAGACACUUAACCCUAACAGCUCCUGA